AGUGGCGGACGGGUGAGUAACACGUAAGAAUUUGCCUUUAGGAGGGGGACAACAACUAGAAAUGGUUGCUAAUACCCCAUAUGCUUUCGAGUGAAAUGGAUUUUUCCGCCUAGAGAGAAGCUUGCGGCUGAUUAGCUUGUUGGUGAGGUAAUGGCUCACCAAGGCGACGAUCAGUAUCUGGUUUGAGAGGAUGAUCAGACACACUGGAACUGAGACACGGUCCAGACUCCUACGGGAGGCAGCAGUGGGGAAUUUUCCGCAAUGGGCGAAAGCCUGACGGAGCAAUCUCGCGUGAGGGAUGACGGCCUAUGGGUUGUAAACCUCUUUUUUCAGGGAGGAACAAAAUGACGUGUACCUGAAGAAUAAGCAUCGGCUAACUCCGUGCCAGCAGCCGCGGUAAGACGGAGGAUGCAAGUGUUAUCCGGAAUCACUGGGCGUAAAGCGUCUGUAGGUGGUUUAAUAAGUCAACUGUUAAAUCUUGAAGCUCAACUUCAAAAUCGCAGUCGAAACUAUUAGACUAGAGUAUAGUAGGGGUAAAGGGAAUUUCCAGUGGAGCGGUGAAAUGCGUAGAUAUUGGAAAGAACACCGAUGGCGAAGGCACUUUACUGGGCUAUUACUGACACUCAGAGACGAAAGCUAGGGUAGCAAAUGGGAUUAGAUACCCCAGUAGUCCUAGCCGUAAACAAUGGAUACUAGAUGU
rnacentral:rRNA from 1 species